AGGUAAAGUUACUAGUGGAGAAAUUCUUAAUCCUUAUCCGCGCGACUCUUCUGCUAAGGAAUAUUUGUCAUAGAAACGAGGACUACGACUCGAUGUACGAGGCAUUCCCUUACCAGUAGCAGUCUACUCCUCACUUGUGUGAUAUCUUUACAGGAUUGGGUUUGGACUGUGGAGCUUACUACCAGAAUUUCACCGAAACGGCUGUGGAGCAAGGAAAGGUGAAUGUGGUCGACAUAGAUAGGGCACUGAAUUACCUUAUGUUUUGCUUAUGAGGCUAGGCUACUGAUGGAAACCCUACUUUCAAAUCUCUUGACAAGAAGGAUAUAAUUAUAUGCACCAGAGAGCAUAUUGAGUUAGCCACACAAGCAGCAAAGAGAAGAAACAAUGCCAAUGAAACUUUGCGUAGAACUCUGCUAAGUUCAAAACCCUGGCCGUCGUCAGGCCUCAUGCCAAUGCUACUACCAAGGUCAUGAUCGGAAAAUAUGCUGUACACUUCACCUCCUGAUGCUUUCAAAUCCUAUGGAAAAGUGAGGUAUGAAGUGGGAUGUGAUGUUGCAUGUCUACAUGAGAGCUUGAUAUAUAUAUUCCCUGCCAUGGCAGCCGCCAAGGAAGCUCAUGCAACCAUAGUUAUGGCGGGAUUGGACUUACCGGUUGAAGCGGAGGGCUUGGACAGAGCUGACCUCCUUCUUCCUGGUUACCAAACUCAAUUAUCAACCAAGUUGUUCGCCAAACAAAAUGAUAAUUGAGGAAGAUUACCUCUUACAUGGUAUGAAGCUGGUUACAUCGAAAUGCUACCUAUGACAUCCAUGCCAUUGAGGCUAAUCGAUACCCUAGGCUAUCCUGGUCGUACAUACAAACUCUUAAAUGGCUCUACCGUUUAUCCAUUUGGCUAUGGCCUUAGCUACACUCAAUUCAACUACACCCUCAUAGCUGCAGUUGAGUUGAUGAAUAUUUUGUUGAACAAGACCCAACACUGCCACAAAUUUAAGUACCGCGAUGAAACAUACAAGCCAUCCUGCCCAGCAGUCCUUUUAGAUGACUUGUAACACGAUUUUUCAGUCAAGGUUGAAGUGAAACAUGUAGGCUAAAGGGAUCGGAGUGAGGUUGUUUUUGUUUACUCAAAGCCCCCAGAUGGAAUUGUAGGCACUCAUGCUAAGCAGGUGAUUGGGUUUGAGAGGGUGUUUGCGAAAGCUGGACAAAGAAUGGAGGUUAAUUUUGUGAUCGGUGUCCCUAAGAGCUUGGGAAUUGUUGAUUACACUGGUUACAAGCUUUUUACCAUCGGGGAUACACGCGAUCAUGGUUGGAGAAGAUCAUGGGAUCUCAUUCCCCCUUCAAAUUAACUUUGAGACCAGGUAAAAUUGGUUGUUAAUUGACAAUUGUAUUCAACUUUUAGUGCUAAUUAAUUAGGUUAUUUCGAAUGACUAAUUAGUAGACUUUUUAAUGCAUUUACCUCACUUUUCCUCUGUUUAACCUUCAACAUGUAUACAGUUCACCCUAAUGAUCAAUAAAGUACUCUUUUCUUCUCUUUUCA